rnacentral:rRNA from 1 species
AGUGAACGCUGGCGGUAGGCCUAACACAUGCAAGUCGAACGGCAGCACAGUAAGAGCUUGCUCUUACGGGUGGCGAGUGGCGGACGGGUGAGGAAUACAUCGGAAUCUACUUUUUCGUGGGGGAUAACGUAGGGAAACUUACGCUAAUACCGCAUACGACCUACGGGUGAAAGCAGGGGAUCUUCGGACCUUGCGCGAUUGAAUGAGCCGAUGUCGGAUUAGCUAGUUGGCGGGGUAAAGGCCCACCAAGGCGACGAUCCGUAGCUGGUCUGAGAGGAUGGACAGCCACACUGGAAAUGAGACACGGUCCAGACUCCUACGGGAGGCAGCAGUGGGGAAUAUUGGACAAUGGGCGCAAGCCUGAUCCAGCCAUACCGCGUGGGUGAAGAAGGCCUUCGGGUUGUAAAGCCCUUUUGUUGGGAAAGAAAAGCAGCAGGUUAAUACCCCGCUGUUCUGACGGUACCCAAAGAAUAAGCACCGGCUAACUUCGUG